rnacentral:rRNA from 1 species
GGUGAAUCAUAAUAUUUAUAGCAAAUUAUACAGAGGAAGUAAUUCUUCUUGAUAAUAAAACCGAUCAAAUUUCUGCCCUAUCAUACUUUGGACGGUAAUGUAGUGGAUUACGGUGGUGAUGACGGGUAACGGAGAAUUAGGGUUUGAUUCCGGAGAGGGAGCAUGAGAAAUGGCUACCACUUCCAAGGAAGGCAGCAGGCGCGUAAAUUACCCAAUCCUAAAACAGGGGAGGUAGUGACGAUAAAUAACAAUGAUUCAAUGAUAACAAAGUUGAAUUAAUUGGAAUGAGAACAAUAUAAAUCCCUUAUCGAGUAACAAUUUCAGGGCAAGUUCUGGUGCCAGCAGCCGCGGUAAUUCCAGCUGAAAAAGCGUAUACGAAUAUUGUUGCAGUUAAAACGCUCGUAGUUGG